AGUGAACGCUGGCGGUAGGCCUAACACAUGCAAGUCGAACGGCAGCACAGUAAGAGCUUGCUCUUACGGGUGGCGAGUGGCGGACGGGUGAGGCAUACAUCGGAAUCUACUUUUUCGUGGGGGAUAACGUAGGGAAACUUACGCUAAUACCGCAUACGACCUACGGGUGAAAGCAGGGGAUCUUCGGACCUUGCGCGAUUGAAUGAGCCGAUGUCGGAUUAGUUAGUUGGCGGGGUAAAGGCCCACCAAGGCGACGAUCCGUAGCUGGUCUGAGAGGAUGAUCAGCCACACUGGAACUGAGACACGGUCCAGACUCCUACGGGAGGCGGCGGUGGGGAAUAUUGGACAAUGGGCGCAAGCCUGCUCCAGCCAUACCGCGUGGGUGAAGAAGGCCUUCGGGUUGUAAAGCCCUUUUGUUGGGAAAGAAAAGCAUCAGGUUAAUACCCCGCUGUUCUGACGGUACCCAAAGAAUAAGCACCGGCUAACUUCGUG
rnacentral:rRNA from 1 species